rnacentral:lncRNA from 1 species
GUGAGGCAGGUGAGGUGGUGGGAGCGGACGUGGGCAGGGCUACAGCCUUGGAAGAAGGCGGAGCGACUCGGACAGGCGAGCAGGGCGGAGCCUGGAGGCCCCCCGAGUGGGCGGGGUCGGGUGCAAGACCCGCGUGCCUUGCCUAGACCGGUGGUGCGGAGCACUGGAUAGGGGUUUACUACAUGGAUGCGGCGCUAGGGCUGCCAGGACUGUGUCCCCUGGGAGGCAGGGCCUUAUUCGCUGGAUCUGCAGUGAUCGGUGGUCUCAGGCAGGCUGCUCUCUGGUCCAAAGCAUUGCAGUUGGUGGCCACACCCAGGGCUGUGGUUCCUGCCAGGCAUAAAGUCCAACAGGACACCAACAAAACCAUGGCUGCCAGCUCCAGUGCCAUGAAGCAGGCGUCAGAGCUGCGGGGCUUCUGCCUGGCUAGAUCCACCUGAGAAGAGGACCCUCAAUUGAGAAUGUGCCUCCCUCUUACUGGCACACAGGUAAACCUUUCUGGAAACGCCAGAUAUUGUCCAGAGAUGUGUUUCCAUGGCAAUCCUCAUCUAGCCAAGUUGGCAAUGAGGAUGAAUAAUCAACGAGCAUCAACUUUCAACUGAACUCUGGUGUCUCUCUGCCUUAAAUAUGUCUCUUGGAAACUGCUGAAUUAUAUUAAAAAAAAAAAGCUGAUGUUCGGACUUCACUGCGGUGGUAAAUGGCAGCGCGCUCUGCUGAAGAUCCCAACAGGAAUUGGACUCCAGUCAGUCCUUCACAGACCCAGCUCAAAUCUUCUGAGUGUUCUCGUGCACUCCUUGUCAGCAACAGAGACUUCAGAGAGACACAAGGAGGAAUCCCUGAGGUGAA